CCUACGGGUGGCUGCAGUGGGGAAUAUUGGACAAUGGGGGCAACCCUGAUCCAGCCAUGCCGCGUGUGUGAAGAAGGCCCUCGGGUUGUAAAGCACUUUCAGUGAGGAAGAACGCCUGGUGGUUAAUACCCAUCAGGAAAGACAUCACUCACAGAAGAAGCACCGGCUAACUCCGUGCCAGUAGCCGCGGUAAUACGGAGGGUGCGAGCGUUAAUCGGAAUUACUGGGCGUAAAGCGCGCGUAGGUGGCUUGAUAAGCCGGUUGUGAAAGCCCCGGGCUCAACCUGGGAACGGCAUCCGGAACUGUCAAGCUAGAGUGCAGGAGAGGAAGGUAGAAUUCCCGGUGUAGCGGUGAAAUGCGUAGAGAUCGGGAGGAAUACCAGUGGCGAAGGCGGCCUUCUGGACUGACACUGACACUGAGGUGCGAAAGCGUGGGUAGCAAACAGGAUUAGAUACCCCGGUAGUC
rnacentral:rRNA from 1 species